CCCAGUGCCAGCAGAGCUGCUGUCCCCGCUGCCAGCUGCCGUGGCAGCCCCAGCACGGCUCCAUGUCCUGCUCCCAAUUCCGGGCCUGGAUUCGUUCCCGGGAGCCGCCCCCGACCGGGCUGGGGGCGUUCCUGGGGGACCCCGGCGUCGAGUGCCCCCGCUGCGGGCAGCGCUUCGCCCUGGCCCGGGGGGGCUGUUUGCAUUUCCAGUGCUCCCAGUGCCGGCACCACUUCUG